GAUGAACGCUGGCGGCGUGCCUAAUACAUGCAAGUCGAGCGAGCAGACGAGGAGCUUGCUCCUCUGACGUUAGCGGCGGACGGGUGAGUAACACGUGGAUAACCUACCUAUAAGACUGGGAUAACUUCGGGAAACCGGAGCUAAUACCGGAUAAUAUAUUGAACCGCAUGGUUCAAUAGUGAAAGACGGUUUUGCUGUCACUUAUAGAUGGAUCCGCGCCGCAUUAGCUAGUUGGUAAGGUAACGGCUUACCAAGGCAACGAUGCGUAGCCGACCUGAGAGGGUGAUCGGCCACACUGGAACUGAGACACGGUCCAGACUCCUACGGGAGGCAGCAGUAGGGAAUCUUCCGCAAUGGGCGAAAGCCUGACGGAGCAACGCCGCGUGAGUGAUGAAGGUCUUCGGAUCGUAAAACUCUGUUAUUAGGGAAGAACAAAUGUGUAAGCAACUAUGCACGUCUUGACGGUACCUAAUCAGAAAGCCACGGCUAACUACGUG
rnacentral:rRNA from 1 species